AAAACUGUAGUUAUAAUUGAUGAAACAAACAGCCUUUUUCGAAAGAGAGAGAGAAAGAGAGACAGACAGACAGACAGAGACAGAGAGACAGACAAAGAGAGACACAGAGAGACACAGAGAAAGACACAAAGAGAGAGAGAGAUUUAACGCGUUGUGUGCGUUAAAAAAAUCAUUUCGACUUCUUCGGCUAUCGUGGGACUAUUUUUGUUUCCCCAAGCAAAUCUGAGAAAAUUAUGAGCCGCCUGUGAACAUGCGCCAUAAAUUUUUGCCAAGUUCUAUCCCCUUGACUUGUCUUGAUAUUAGUUGACGAUAGCGGCCCAAAAGUCCGGAAGCUGAUAAGCAAAAACUGUGCUGCUUUUGAUGCCGCCUGUGACGCGUUUGAUUUAUCACGACAUGGCGAACUUUGAAACCGAGACACCGGUGUCGGGUGUUGCCCUAGGAACGGGAGUCCCGCGAUCCCCGGAUGUUAAACAACGGGGACUACAGUGUAAAUCUCAUUUGGAACUAUCAUUGAGUGUAAUGAAAAUGUAAUAUUUGUGUUGAUUUAAACAUCAAUGGAAGUGGAGUAGCCAAAGCAAUUUACCGGGUGCUAACUAGAUGACAGACUGUUUGUUUGCAAUGCAUUAUGGGAAUAUAAAUCACACUUUUUUUCAUUAGUGGUCCCCGAUUGAUUUGCUUUUUUAACAUUGUUAUUUUUUCCUUGAGUUAAUAAGUAAAAAAUGUCAUUUUUUUUCUAUUUCGAAAGU
rnacentral:sRNA from 1 species